UCGUGUUUAUUUUCGUGUGUGUGCAUUUUCCUACUGACUUUUACUAUGAAGGUGAGGGUUCCCUUCAGUUUCUGUGGCAUUACGAUGCUCUGCACAGUGAAGACAAAUCGCGCCUCAUUGGACACCCCUGAAGCGCAAAAGAAAAGAUCACGCAUUUUGCAGAUAAUCACUGACCAGGUGGGAGUUGGAAGGGGACGGUCAGGCCAUCAUGUGGACCAGACCCCUCUGGCCUCUGCAGCUUGGAGUUGAGAGAGUCCAGGACAUUGAACUCCAUGGAUUUGAGGAAGCUGUCACACUUGUUUUCAAAUAUAACCGACACCACCACCUGACUGCCAUCCUGCAGGUUUCCCUGGAUGUCAUAAACCUUAGCAAGAAGGAAAA